rnacentral:rRNA from 1 species
AUACGUGAGUGGCAGAGCGCUUCUUAGUGCCACGAGUCGGUACGCUCGCGCGAGGUACGGUUUCACGCUCUUGAAAACCGGAAGCAAGCCUCUCUGCACUACAAAGCCCAUCUGUGAGUGAUAACAAAGAGAAAAUUUUCCGACGGAACAGCUAUGUCAUGAUUCCCCAACUCGAAUUAGCCUCACUAAAGGGCUAGCCUGCAGGUUUAACGAUUUGCCUUGUGCCUGCCGCCGCGGUAAUCGGAGGGAGCUAGCGUUGUUCGGAAUUACUGGGCGUAAAGCGCACGUAGGCUGCUUUGUAAGUUAGAGGUGAAAGCAUGGAGCUCAACUCCAGAAUUGCCUUUAAGUCUGCAUCGCUUGAACCAAGAGAGGUGAGUGGAAUUCCGAGUGUAGAGGUGAAAUUCGUAGAUAUUCGGAAGAACACCAGUGGCGAAGGCGCAUCACUGGCUUGGUAUUGACGCUGAGGUGCGAAGGCGUGGGGAGCAAACAGGAUUAGAUACCCUGGUAGUC